rnacentral:lncRNA from 1 species
UUUUUUUCUUUUUUUUUCUUCUUAGGGACACACCCACGGCAUGUGGAAAUUCCCAGGCCAGGGGUGGAAUCAGAGUUACAGCUGCUGGCCUUCGCCACAGCCACAGCAACUUGGAAACUGAGCUGCAUCUGAGACCUACACAGCACUCACUGCAACACCUGACCGCUGACCCACUGAGUGAGGAGGCCAGGGAUUGAACCUGCAUCCUCAUGGAUACUAGUUGGAUUCGUUUCUGCUGCACCCCAACGGGAACUCCUUUCACCCCACUUUUAACAUUAACACAGUGACCCCUAUAGCUACUGAUAUUUACCAAUAUCAAAGAGAUGAUUUUGGUGUUAUUUCCAAUAAAUUGUUUAAAAAUAUGAGUGUAGUUAAUUGAUUAUGACUUCCUAGUAUAAUAGAAAGAACUUUCAAGAGAAAUUUCCUGCCUUUACUAUCAUUUUUCUGUACAUCUCAGGAUAAAUAUAAUUUUCCUUCACUUACAGAAUUAUCACUGUUGUUUUCAGUCUAUCAAAGCAUGUGAGACUAAGAUAUAGAAAAGUGAAAGACCAGUAUAUCUCCCUGUUUUAUUAGGACUGAGGAUUUCAGAGAAUGUAACAAUUUUCAUUACUGGAUUUUGUGGAUUCUUCUAGAUGUGAGAGGCAGUAUAACAUGAUGCUACUGUAAUACAGAUUGUGGACUCUGGAGGCACAAUCAAGCCUGGGUUUGACUGCAUCUCUGCUCUCAUUACUGUGUAUAAUCUUAGGCAGGUUACCUACCUUCUCUGUGCCUCCAUUUCCCCAAUUUAAAAGUGGCAAUAAUCAUAGAGAUUAUUUUCGUCAUCUUACACCUACAUAACUUGAGUCAAAAUCCUUGUAAUUUUUCAUCAAUACCUGGGAUAAAGAAAAAAAUGAAUACAUACAUUUAAUAUAUAAAACAAAGGUGUAGAUUAUCUAUUUCUGUUAAGGAAGAAACAACCUUCACAAAGUUAUCUCCAGAGCUUCGAUAGCUUGUUUACAUUACUUAGCAUACUAAAAGAGUACCAGUGUUGUGGAACCAGGAUUUAACAUUAGUUUGGUAUUCUUAUCUAAAGACCUUGUUCAAAUUUCACCAGUUUCUCUGCUCAUAUCCUUUCUCCAUUUCAAGGUGAAUAAGACAUAUUUGGAAACCAUCUACACUAUUUUUGCAACUUUUCUGUAAAUCUAAAAUGAGUUCAGAAUAAGGUCACUUUUACAUAGGAAAAAAGCGACAAAAGACAAAAAGUUUAGAAGAAUAAAAAUAAUAAUGCUUUGUUUUUCCCUCUUAAGAAACAUAAAUUGAUGAAUAAAAGUGAUGUCUUGGGACAAAAUUAUGUGAAAGGAUUUUUUACACAUAAAUUUUUUUUUGGGGGGGGGAUGUCUUUUGUCUUUUGAGGGCCACACUCAUGGCAUAUGGAGAUUCCCAGGCUGGGGGUCUAAUCGGAGCUGUUGCUGCCAACCUAUGCCAGAGCCACAGCAACACCAGAUCCGAGCCGCGUCUGCGACCUACACCACAGCUCACGGCAAUGCCAGAUCUUAACCCACUGAGCAAGGCCAGGGAUCGAACCCACAAUUUCAUGUUUCCUAGUUGGAUUUGUUUCCGCUGAGCCGCCACAGGAACUCCUACACAAACAAUUUUAGGAGAGAUACUCUGAAGCUACUCUGCCCAUAAACACUGAAGGGCUUACCAUAUAUUUGGCAAUGUAGCAGCAGCAGAAUUGGGGCAGGUAGAAAGCUUGAGAUCAUCUUAGUCUAAGACAAAAUUUUGGAGUUCCUGUCCUGGCACAGUGGUUAACGAAUUUGACUAGGAACCAUGAGGUUUCGGGUUCGAUCCCUGGACUUGCUCAGUGGGUUAAGGAUCUGACGUUGCCAUGAGCUGUGGUGUAGGUUGCAGACGAGGCUCGGAUCUCGAGUUGCUGUGGCUCUGGCAUAGGCCAGCAGCUACAGCUCCAAUUAGACCCCUAGCCUGGGAACCUCCAUAUGCCACAGGAAGCAGCCCUAGAAAAAGGCCAAAAAAAGACAAAAAAAUAAAAAAAUAAAAAAAAAUUUUAAGAAAAACUUCUGCUGCUGGCCUUAUCCAGCACCACCCCUCACCCAAAUUACUUUUAAUCUAAAUUUUUUUUAUUGUAUUUCAUUGGCUUCUUCUGUCUUUAACUCUGAUCCUUUUUUGCAACACACUUUUUGAUUGAUCUUCUUGAAUAUGGCUUUAUAUCAUGUGCUGCUAUAAAACUGUCAUUAUUUCAGCAUUUCUCAUUUAAUGACCCCUGAAAUGCAUAUUACUAGUGGUGAUUCUUUCUUUUUUUUUUUUUUUUUUUUUUUUCUUUUUCUUUUCAGGGCUAGUAUAUCCAUGGCAUAUGGAAGUUCCCAGGCUAGGGGUUGACGUGGAGCUCUAGCUGCAGGCCUAGGCCAGAGCCAUAGCAAUUCGGGAUCCAAGCGGUGUCUGUGACCACAGCUCACGCAACACCAGAUCCCGACCCACUGAGCAAGGCCAGGGAUGGAACCCACAUUCUUGUGGAUACUAGUUGGAUUCUUUUCCACUGUAUCACAACAGGAACUACCUGAUUCUUUAAAAAAAUUUAAAAAAAAAAUUUUUUUUUUCUCUUUAGGGCCAUGCCAACAGCAUAUGGAAGUUCCCAGGCUAGGGGUCUAAUUUGAGCUACAGCUGCCAGCCUUCACCACAGCCACAGCAACGUAGGAUCCAAGCCUUGUCUGCGACCUACACCACAGCUAACCGCAAUGCCGGAUCCUUAACCCACUGAGAAGAGCCAGGGAUCGAACCUGUGCCCUCAUGGAUACUAGUUGGGUUCAUUUCCACUGAGCCACGACAGGAACUCUAAUAGUGCUUAUUCUUGAAUAGAACCUCAGACCUAAAGAAUCAGAGUUUCUGGACAAUGGUCUCGGGAAUCUGCUUUUCCACAAAUCAGCCUAGGUCUAACUUGCUAGACCUCCAGGAAGGAGGCAGGAUAUCUGUGCUUCUAAAACCAAGAGCCAUGGUACCAUGGGAGCCCUAGACAACGGAAGAGAAUCAACAAACAAAAGAAAGUAAUGAUGCAGGGCUGAGCCAGUCAUGUAUGUGUGGGCUUCAGGGAGGUCAAAGUUUUGGUGAACGAGGGAGUUGGUGAGCCACAAAUGUCUGGUUUGGAUCAGCAAGGUGAAGGGCUUCAGGAAGGGGAGGGCCGGCACUGAGAAAAGAGAUUUGUCUGUUUUUCACUUUGGACCCUAAUGAGAGUCAGUCUUUAGCACAUCUAGAUGAGAUAUCUUCAGGGCAUAACCAUGGGUGGGAACAGGAAAUUCAGGGGCCAUAAAUGCUCUGGAUGGUCCUUGGCUGUUCUUAAAAGUCCAUAGAACAGGGAGUGGCAGGACUAGGACUGGAGUGAAUUCCCUUUCAUCUCCAUUACCAAUUGCCUGAUAGGACCUGGUCUUUGAAAUGUGGUAUAUUAAAUACAUAUAUAGACACAUACAGCAGCCCCGUGCAUUGUUUUUAGUGAUGUUGAUUAAAAAAAUCUUGUGAUACAUAUUUCUUACCAUAAUAUUAACCUAUAAUUGGGUAGAGAAAUCCUUGUUCUUCUCCUUCCCUUGGAAUAGAAAAUAUAAUUCCAUGCUCCACAGGGAGUCCCAGUAUCAAAGGGAUUAUUUUGUAUGAUUCCAGGAGCAGCACUUGUGUUUGUCCCUACAGUUGCUGGGCAGUCACAUCACUAUGCAUGUGCAAGGUCCAUCUUCAUAGCUAAAAUGUUGAAAGAGAUCACAGAUUGAUCCCCACCCCUGGUUAGUCAAGGGUGAAAUAGUAUUUGCUCCUCAGUGGAAAAUUUCCACUUCUCAGGCUUGGCAUUUGGAGGCCUAGGACAAGAACAUUUAUUUCACAGCAGUGGGCAUUUAACUUUUAAGGCCGUGUUUUACUUGUGUUGGUUUGUCAUUGGAUAGGCCCCCAGUAUCACAGGAAGUCAUUUUGGCAGAAAGGAAAAAUAUAAUCUUGGCAGAGCAUAGACUACAACAUCAUUGCUUUUUUAAGAUGGCACUCUAAUAUCUCCUAUAUGGAGUCUUCCUCAAUUCUUGCAGCCAAAUGUGGGCACUUUUCCUCUGCAUUCCUCUGCAAAUCUCUCUGUAUUUCUCAUAUCACUUAUCACAUUCUAGUUAUAUUGUACCACCUUGUUAUUACUUUUUAGUAUAACAUAGGGCUUAAACCUGAUUUAGAACUUGGACUUGGAAUUUAUAGACAUCUGAGUUUGAAUAUUUGCUUGGAUACUUACAGGUUAUGUGACUUGGACAUGUUUCCUAACUCUGUUUAUUCACCUGUAACAUGAAGAUAAAAAUAGCAUGUAGCCUUUAGAAUAAUUGUGAAAAGUAAGAAUUAAGUAUCCAGUGCAGAAUAAUCUCCCAAUAAAUAUUGCCUUUUUUAUCAAUAUCUCUCUAAUUUAUAUGAUUGUUUUUAAUGAGCAAAACUCAUGUUUUAUUCAAUAAUAUAAUAGCCCAGUAGCCCAUGAAAUAGGGUCUUACAUAAAAUAAGAGAUAACAUCUCUUGAUAAGAGAAUGAUGAGGCCUUGAGAUUAUGAAACAUUAAAAGAAGAUACAAAGAGAAACUCAGGAAGGAGCCUUGCAAGAAUUUGCUUUGCAUUUGGUUAUAAUCUCAAUGUACUAUAGUCAUCAUUAUUUCAUUUAACCAAAAUGACCCUGAAAGAAAGAGAUUAAUUUGUCCAUUUCCUCUUAAAAGGAAACUAAGUCUUAAGAAUUUAAGUGAGUUGUCUCAGUGGCACAGGUGGCAAAGGGAGGAGUUGGGCUUUGAGCAAACCCUGGUUCCAUGACCCUCUCCACUUGACCUUGGCCGUCCAUGUUUGUUGGCUCCUUGUCCCGUAAAGGACUUGUUGGUGCACAGCCUCUUUUCUCACCUUUGUGAGUCCUUAGCACCUGCCCCAGGGAUUCUCUGUCAUACAGGGUCUAACAGGGUCAGUCAGAUUACUUAAAAUCUAAUUUGGAGGACUGCAUGCUUAAUCCAAUCAAUUGUGUGCUAAUCAGCCAUUAAAAUGGCUCACAGCACAAACCCCAGAAGCCUUGGGGAUUCACUGGUCAUACAAACAAGACCAUCUGAGAAACUGAGAGAGAAGAGCCUCUUCUAUGUUCUCUAUUUGUUCCUACACUUCCCUUUUUCUUUUAGCUUUACCUCAUUUCCUUUUCGGACAUAGGAAGUUCUUUUUUUUUUUUUCCUUUUUCCAGCUUUAUUGAGGUAUAAUUGACAAAAAAAAAUUGUAAAUAUUUAAGGAGUGCAUCAUGAUGAUUUGAUAUAUGUGAAAUUAUUAUCAUAGUCAAGCUAAUUGAUAUAACCUUCAUUUCUCAUAGUUUUAUAUAUAUACAUGUAUAUUUUGUGUGUGGUAAAAACACUUAAGUUCUACUCUCUUAGGAAGCUUCAGGUAUACAAAUCAGUAUUAUUACUAUAGUCACUAUACUAUGUAUCUGAUCUUCAGGAAGUUUUUUUUAUAUUCUUUAGAUCUAAGGCUCUGCCCAGAAUUCAUCUCUGCCAGGAUUCACCUCUAUAUGAACUUAAGGAAAGAAUUAAGGUGAAAUUUGCUGAAUAACUUCUAUGUACU